CUAAUGCCACCCGAGCUCUGGAGCAGGCUUUUCUUCUUACAAAUUUGUGGUCUAAUUCUCCGACGUUACCCUCCGCGCACCACCUUUUUUAAUCCUUUCUCCUUUUUUCCUAUUUUUUGUUUUCUUUUCGUCUUAUUUCCUGUUUUCUUCUUUUUCUUGUUUUGUUUCUCUUCUUGCUUUUCUUUUGCCCCGGAAGCCCUGGCUGCUUCCAUACUGUUUGCCUAGUUCACUUAUCAAUGAAUGAAGUAGGUAGCUAGUCUACCUCGUUCUCAAAAAAAAAAAAACAAAUAUUCAUAGUAAUCUGCUCCUAAGUAU
rnacentral:lncRNA from 1 species